rnacentral:rRNA from 1 species
AUUGAACGCUGGCGGCAUGCCUUACACAUGCAAGUCGAACGGUAACAGGUCUUCGGAUGCUGACGAGUGGCGAACGGGUGAGUAAUACAUCGGAACGUGCCUAGUAGUGGGGGGUAACUACUCGAAGGAGUGGCUAAUACCGCAUGAGAUCUACGGAUGAAAGCAGGGGAUCGCAAGACCUUGUGCUACUAGAGCGGCCGAUGGCAGAUUAGGUAGUUGGUGGGAUAAAAGCUUACCAAGCCGACGAUCUGUAGCUGGUCUGAGAGGACGAUCGGCCAAACUGGGACUGAGACCGGGCCCAGACUCCUACGGGAGGCAGCAGUGGGGAAUUUUGGACAUUGGGCGAAAGUCUGAUCCAGCAAUGCCGCGUGCAGGAUGAAGGCCUUCGGGUUGUAAACUGCUUUUGUAAGGAACAAAAAGCCCUGGGUUAAUACCCUGGGGUCAUGACGGUACCGUAAGAAUAAGCACCGGCUAACUACGUGCCAGCAGCCGCAGUAACAC